AGCCAUUUUUGGCAGCAGGUUGCAGGUCGCUGACGGUGAAAGAAAAUGGAUAUACGGCGUUUUUUCAAGGAGAAAGAUCCAGACUCUUCUCAUUUUAAAGGAAGGUAAAGGAGCAUGGUGGCCUGCUGGAGGAAAUUACACGCAGAGAUUUCAGAAUUGGGAUAAGGGAUGGUGACAGAAAAAGGCAUUUUCUACUUUUAUACACAUUGCCUCUGACAGAGAAUAAGAAGUCGGGGGAAGAUACGGCUGUAAUAAAGGGCUUAUCCGAGGAGAGGAGGUCAGAAUGGAAAAAGGAUUAAGACUGCUUCCAGCUCACUGGCCCUUCACACAGCAGUCACUCAUCAAACAAAGAUUCUCUCCCUCCGUUUUUCUCUCUGUUAUCGACACAGAUUGAGAGAGAUCCAAAUAUUGUGCACCAUGUUAGUAUUCCUUCCUUGUUUCACUGAUGCCAGCCACUUUUUGGAUAAACAACUGGUGAUGUUACCUGUAAGUCCAGCCCAGAAGAACUUAAAUAUGGAAACAACAGGAGCAACAGGAAAAGCUCAGUUCUUUCUAACAUCAUAAUGCCCCAUCAUUAUUGCAGCUUCCCUGAAGCAAACAAGUUUGCAUUGAGUGAUGGCUUUCAUAAAUGAAUGAGAAAACAAGUAUCAUCAUCCUCUGACACAUUUUCUAAUUGCAGUUCAUUUGAAAAGCUUUUGAGAGAGCUCAUUUCAGCUCCUCCAUCAAGAAUAUUGCUCACUCUUGACAGAGCAUAGUUAAGUAGCUGUUGAUAAAUGUACGUAUGUGAGGUGAAUGCUGAACAACUACUGUCCACCCUGACUCCUCUGUAAUGCACUGAUACACUGCCUGGCCAUUGGUUUGGGUUAAAUAAAA